AGCAGCCGCGGUAAUUCCAGCUCCAAUAGCGUAUAUUAAAGUUGCUGCAGUUAAAAAGCUCGUAGUUGAAUUUCGGGACUAAUAUGUCGGUCGUGCCUCGGUACGUACUGGUAUUUUUGGUUUCUCCCUUCUGACGAACCUUGAUGUCAUUAAUUUGGUGUCUUGGGGAAUCAGGACUGUUAUUUUGAAAAAAUUAGAGUGUUUAAAGCAGGCUCACGCUUGAAUACAUUAGCAUGGAAUAAUGAAAUAGGACGUUUGAUUCUAUUUUGUUGGUUUCUAGGAUUGACGUAAUGAUUAAUAGGGAUAGUUGGGGGCAUUAGUAUUCAAUUGUCAGAGGUGAAAUUCUUGGAUUUAUUGAAGACUAACUACUGCGAAAGCAUUUGCCAAGGAUGUUUUCAUUAAUCAAGAACGAAAGUUAGGGAUCGAAGACGAUCAGAUACCGUCGUAGUCUUAACCAUAAACUAUGACCGACUAGGGAUCGGAUGAUGUUAAUUUUUAUGUACUUCAUUCGGCGCCGUUA
rnacentral:rRNA from 1 species